GCUCCGCCUCUUCCCCCCCGUCCUGCAGACGAAGGCAUGGCGAGCACGGAGGCCAGAAGGGAGUGUGAGACGGAGGGCUGCAGCAGGGACGCCAAACUUCAGUGUCCCACAUGUAUCAAGCUCGGUAUUCAAGGCUCCUAUUUCUGCUCGCAGGAAUGUUUCAAGGGGAGCUGGACGUCUCACAAGCUGCUCCACAAAAAAGCAAAGGAAGACAAGCACCAGACUGAAGCUAAGAACUGCGUGGAGAAGGACACCAACACAGAUCCCUGGCUGGGAUACCGCUACACAGGCAAACUACGGCCACACUACCCACUGACCCCCAUGCGACCGGUUCCUGGUGACAUCCAAAGACCCGACUAUGCGGAUCAUCCCAGAGGGAUGUCCGAGUCCGAACAGUUCCUGAAGGGGACGUCUCAGAUCAAGAUCCUGUCUCCUGAGGACAUCGAAGGCAUGAGGGUGGUGUGCAAGCUGGCGCGGGAAGUCCUGGACAUCGCCGCCAUGAUGGUGAAGCCGGGCGUCACGACGGAGGAGAUCGACCACGCCGUUCAUCUGGCCUGCGUGGCGAGGAAGUGCUACCCGUCUCCUCUCAACUACUACAACUUCCCCAAGUCCUGCUGCACGUCUGUCAACGAGGUGAUCUGCCACGGCAUCCCGGACCGGAGAGCUCUGCAGGACGGAGACAUCCUGAACGUGGACAUCACUGUCUACCAUAACGGUUUCCAUGGCGACCUGAAUGAGACCUUCUUCGUGGGCGAGGUGGAGGAAGGAGCCAAGAGGCUGGUGCAGACGACGUACGAAUGCCUGAUGCAAGCCAUCGACUCGGUGAAGCCCGGGGUGCGCUACCGGGAGCUGGGGAACAUCAUCCAGAAGCACGCUCAGGCCAACGGCUUCUCCGUGGUGCGCAGCUACUGCGGCCACGGCAUCCACCGGCUUUUCCACACGGCGCCCAACGUCCCACAUUACGCCAAAAACAAAGCGGUUGGGGUCAUGAAGCCGGGUCAUGUGUUCACCAUCGAGCCAAUGAUCUGCGAGGGCGGCUGGCAGGACGAGACGUGGCCCGACGGCUGGACGGCAGUGACCCGGGACGGGAAGCGGUCGGCCCAGUUCGAACACACCCUGCUGGUGACGGAGACGGGCUGCGAGGUUCUGACGCGCCGCCUGGAGGACAACGGCCGGGCUCACUUCCUGGCCCAGAUGUAGGCGCCGCCGGAACCGGCGCCCAGGACUGGACCCGACCAGACGCCCGGCACCGCAAACUCACUCACAGCUCAAAGGAAACUCUGAAUUAAAAGCAGAAUGCGGCUGCAGCUUUAACCAUCAUCAAACGGCCAUCCUGAGCUAGCUUAGCUUACGAUGAAGCUGCUGCAUGACGGAGGUUCUGGUACCAUGAGCGCUGGUGUAGCAGAACGAGCCUUAACGUGUGGAUGUGUGACCUCUGACCUCUGACCUGCUCGUCUCACCUUCAUCCUGCGUCACCUGGAUGCUGUCGUUGUUUCUCUGCACUCUGUACUUCUGAUGGAGUAAUAAAUGACUCUUCUGUA